rnacentral:rRNA from 1 species
GAGCGAACGCUGGCGGCAGGCUUAACACAUGCAAGUCGAACGGGCACCUUCGGGUGUCAGUGGCAGACGGGUGAGUAACACGUGGGAACGUGCCCUUUGGUUCGGAACAACUCCGGGAAACUGGAGCUAAUACCGGAUAAGCCCUUCGGGGAAGAUUAUCGCCAAGGAUCGGCCCGCGUCUGAUUAGCUAGUUGGUAGGGUAACGGCCUACCAAGGCGACGAUCAGUAGCUGGUCUGAGAGGAUGAUCAGCCACACUGGGACUGAGACACGGCCCAGACUCCUACGGGAGGCAGCAGUGGGGAAUAUUGGACAAUGGGCGAAAGCCUGAUCCAGCCAUGCCGCGUGAGUGAUGAAGGCCCUAGGGUUGUAAAGCUCUUUCGGC